rfam:Oryza barthii chromosome 7, whole genome shotgun sequence.
AAAAAGACAAACCCUGAGUUUUCGUGUCUAACUUUGACAGUCCGUCUUAUAUGAAAAUUUUUUAUAAUUUGUAUUUUUAUUAUUGUUAGAUGAUAAAAUAUUAUUAAUAUUUUAUGUGUGACUUAUCUUUUUAAUUUUUUUCAUAAUUUUUUUAAAUACGACGGAUGGUCAAAUGUUGGACACGAAAAUCAAGGUUUUUCUUUUU